UUUCGUGGGGAAUUGCUGUAUACUAGGGUGCCCAGAAAAAAUGACCCCCUGCUCCACAAGCGGAAAACGGUUUAUUGGGUUAUUUUAAGCAUCUGUGCAAAUUUUGAGCGAAAUUGGUUGAGAUUAACCCAUUGAUAUCCGAGCCUAAAGUUGGUGAAAAAAAUGUUUUUCAUACAAAAAUGACUUUUUUAAAUCGCUAAUAACUUUUCAGGAUCAAGUUUUACAGCUUUGGUAUGUUCUACAAAGUUGUAGAGCAUUAAAUUUCCAAUGAGAAUCUCACUUUUGGGAAUAUUUGGAUGUAAGUAGCGCACCGUGUAGACCAAACCGUAUGAAAAUAGGGUUUUUCAUACAUUUUUUCGAUUUUUCCCAUGCAAACUUCACCCCCGAGUAUCAAAGGGUAAAUGUUAACCGAUUUUGCUCAUAUUUGGCCCAGAGUUCUAAAAUAGCUCAAGGAACAAUAUUCAGCUUGUGGAGCGAGGUUUUGAGAAAAAGUCCCGUAUUCUGGGCACCCUAACUGUAUACCUAUGUCAGGGGUGACCAAAGUAUGGCCCGCGGGCCAAACGUGGCCCGCGAGGUGAUAUUUUGUGGCCCGCGGACCCAUUUUGAAUGAUCAUGUAAAAUGGCCCAUUGACCACUUGUAAAGUGUAUACUUUUUAAAAAUUAAGGUUUAUUUUAAACUUUCAUAUGCUAAUCUUUUUUUUUUGUUAAUAAAAAACUUGUGAUUUAUCAAUAUUAUGAUCCCCACAUUAGGAUACAAAUACUUUGUUCAAAAUAUUUUAUAAUUAAAACAAUUUCACACGUUUCAAUGUGAGUGAAACUAUUAAAUAUCGUCAAAAUUUUCAUCAAACAUUUUUAGAAAUAUUUAAAAAACGUUCAAGUUUGACUAUGUAAUCGUUGCAAAAAUGUAUGUUUUCUUUAUUAAGUUGCAAGUCAUAAUGACACUUUUAUGAACUGACCCUCAAACAUACCUUGCACUUCCUUCGGGAUUCGAACUCAUUACAGUUAGAUAACGAAUCUGAUUGACUACCAACUGAUUCAGGCAGACAAAAUGUGGAAAUCGGAGGAUCAAGUUUGUUGCAAAUAUUUUACAAAGCUUUCGUCGAUCAACCCACCCCUCCAUCAUUAUUGAAAAACUGGCUCAAAAACCAGGAGCAAAAAUAUAUUUUCAAAAAACUUUAAAAAUAAUAAAUUUAAGUGCAAUCAUCUGAAAUUUAUUUUAUAUGCAUUCCUUUGUAUUUAAAAUCAUUUGAGCAUGUUUGGGUUUAUUAAAAAAAAUGAAUUUUAGUGAAUUUUCGAUGAAAUAAAUAAAUGUUUUUUCGCUAAAUUUUUUUUUGUCGAAUCAGUUUUACUAUACGGAAACCUAAAACAUUUUCUAACAUUUUUUUCAUUGAAAUGUUGAAAUUCUGGCUCUCAACGAUUUUUCAUUAGCCAUUCUUAAUUUAUAGAUAAAAUUACACCUUUAGAUGAAUUGUUCAACAUGUAUUGUCACCAUUUUCGAAAUGUAAAAACAAAACAUUGUUUUUUUUUAAAACACAAGUACACUGCCGCUCUAAUCUAGUCCGUCCCAUAUGUAAAAAAUGGAUGCUGAGAUAACGACGUGAGAAGGCAAAAAAAUUUUGCAUCAUUUUUCACAUUUCCAAUCAACAUAUUUUUGCUAAAUUGUUAUACAAUUAUUUCAAUAUUAGUUAAGCAUAGCAUAGGUGCCCACCCGCAGUUGCUAAUCCGUUAUUGACCAGGACCUCCAGAAGUUACAUCCACGAGCCGUGGAAGAUGAGUGGGUGCUAUCUUUCCUCGCUUCGCAACUUCUCAAAGGCCCCUAUCAUGCUGAUCAAUACCGGCGCCGGCCACGACCAGUGGUAGAGUCACGGGGAAGUGGAUGGGAAUGUUAGUCCGAUACUUGAGUGAUAGAGACCGCCCAAUCGACUGCUUCUCCGACAAAGUAUCACAUGAGUUUUGAGGGGGUUAGUAGAUGGGUAUGAGGUCAGGAUUCACGAGUGGCAAUGUUGUGACCAUGAGCAUUUUGUUUAUCAGUUGAAAUUUUAAAUCUUAGGCAGCCGGCUGCGGAAAGAUAAAUAAUUGAUUAUUUAAAAAGUUUGUUUUAAUCGAACGCGUGCCAACCGAGCGGUAGUGCUAUGGGCUGGACUUAUCAGUAUAUUUUUACUGUUGGUACAAUUAAGAUAACGCGAGCAAAUGUCAAAAAUAGUAGAUGAGUUAAUACUAAAGCUGCCAGUUGUAAUAAAUUAUGACUAUCAACGAAUAAAAACGAAAAGAAAACAGGACACCACGUAACCGAUUGUAAUGAAAUUAAAACAAUAACUUAAACUAACGAACUUAACUGGCGGCGUGCCUUCCUAUCAACGAUUAUAAAAGAAGGACUUAUGAAAUUUAAAAUAUAAAAAAGGCUCCGAAAACCACGUUUCAUAAUAACCGCGAAGUCCAGCUACUCACAAUCGAAUCCGAAAGAUAGCUAUCUAGAAUUUUAAAUAUAGUAUUAAUACGACCGCGAUCUUCUAGAAAUUCUUCGUCAGCGUGCCUUCCGAUCAACGGUGAUGUAGGAAGGGCUUUAUUCAUUAAAAUGAUUUUAUAUCAUAAGCCUUAAAACAUAUUCGUCGGCCUGCCUUCCGAUCAUCGAUGAUAUAGAAAGGACUUAAUCCAGCAAUACGACUUGCUUGUCUCGAAAAAAAAAAUGGGAUCGUUUCCAAAACUAUGUGAAGAGAACAAAAAAAAUCUCAUCGGCCAACGAACGCGCGAACUAAAAAUAAAGAAAAAAGAAGAAGAAGAAGACCAAUCACCCCAUGCACACAAACAGCGACACAAAAGAGAUGAAAAUAACACGAAAAAAAGGUCUGCGCGUCCUCAUAGGCACUGCAAUAAUCAAACAGGACACCACGUAAUGAAAUUAAAAGAACUUAACCGGCGGCGUACCUUCUGAUCAACGAUGAUAAAAGGAGGACUUAUGGAAAAUAAAAUAUCAAAUAAAAGGCUCCGAAAAACACGUUGCAGAGUAACCGCGAGGUCCCGCUACUCACAAUCGAAUCAAAAAAAUCUAAAACGCGCGCUAAUGGUCUAUCCUAAAUUUCAGCAUGUCUUUCGAUAAACGAUUCUAUAGAAAUGAGUUUUUCACCUUGAAAAUUUAACACAUUAUUUGAAAAAUAAUUGCACAAUUUAACAUGAAGCACAAAAAAACACCUAUCACUGAAAAAAUGACGCUCGAAACAAGAAUAAUUCUGUAAGGCGUGUGCGCUGCCCCACCAUCCGAAUUCCAGUUACUCGGAUGUAGACAUGCAUUAAACAUAAAUUCAGUCUCACUCUCAAACACACAGGAGCCAUCACAGAUGCUUGAAAUAUUAAAUUCAAAGUUGCAUGUGAAUCGUGGACUUCACGAAAAUUCACUAACAUAAUAUUUUCAUGAUCAAAACUGAAAUAUUGAAAAAAGCUCAACAUCGCUUGUUUUGAAAAUUGUCAAGAAGUUUGAAUAAAAACAUAAUUUACAAAAUAUCAACUAUUGGUUUAAAAUCGGAGACGAAGUACCAAAUUUAAGAUCACUAUAUUUCCUAACAAACAUUUCUCGUUUAAAAUUUCCUAGAAAACAAAUAAAAUAAAAUAAUAUCAGCGAUAACAACUCCCCACUUCAAACUGGGUUGAGUUUCCACUAAUAUAAGAAAAUGGAUAGUUCCAAACAAGCGUGCUAAAUGCAUCAACUCACCCCUCGGCCCUCAGUGAGUGCUUAGAGUGAAUGGCACUCAUGUGCUCUGACAGCUUGUGACCUGACCUCAUCCUUGACUUGUUCAGGUUUGACAAUCGUCGGUCGCUACCUCAUCUUCCCCUAAUCGAGCGGAUUAACAAAUACACGCCGUAGGCUAUUGUAUUCAGUACUCUCAAACAACAGCACAACAAUACAAAACAGUUCCAGAUCAGAUCGUUCGCGCUGGCCAAACGCGCGAUUGAUCUUCUUAACCUGAAGAUCACCACUACACCCGUGACUUUCAACACCACGCGUGAGAUAAUUUUAUUAUCUCUUUCCUGACCAACCAAGGGGAACUGCACAUAAUCUUGACCAUAUCAAUUUGUACCAAAUAUCACCGCUUACAACCGAUCGCGAGGAGGAACCCUGUGGCCGAUCUACCAUUUCUCUUUAUGGCACCGAAUUCCGCUCACGCUCUCAAAACGAUCAGCACGAAGGGUCACGAAGACUUGACCGUCAGACCUGAUAAAACUCUUGACCCAAUCUGCGACCACUAUCAGUGGUUGGUUAAUUAUCAAGCAGGCGAUACCGUACGAGCGUAAAAACAAAAGUGUUCAACACCAAAGUGCUACAGAAGUAAUUUUGUGAAAAUUCAUCUUUAAUUGCGCCUGACCAACGACGCAGCACAAAGGCUGAUUUCUGGGAUCUAGUGACGCGUUAACCCAAGAAGCGCAGUUGCGAGCAGAGCGAGGUCAAGUGAGGCUAGGCUGCGGCCGGAGCCGUACACCACACAGCCCGUCUACGUCUACAAAAUGGCUGGGCCGCGUGUGAGGAUGCUGUAAACCCUGAUCGGGUAAAGAGAUCGGCCCUUCUUCUUUCUUCUUGUAUUAUUCCAACCAUACAAUGGUCUUGCACAAACAAACUUCCGAUGGACGUCGCCGAACCGGAUGUCCGCGGAACUGGAGACGCCGGUUGGCACGCGAGCGCCCUCGAGGCCAAUCGAAGGCCGGGCUGACGCGGUUGCCAGGCUGCCGUGGACGCUGGGAUGCUGAGGAUUCCAGGCUGCCGUUGAAGCUGGGUUGCCAUGGGUGCCGGAAAUGGCACAAAGGCGGCGCACACCAUCGUGGGAUACACUUUUACACUACUCUGACACUCACACACCUUAGAUUUAACUAUUAAUCCUAGAUUUAAUUUUGGCCGGCGCAUUCGCCUUCUUUUUGGCCGGUUUUUUUUGGCACAUUGCCCCAUUUUCGCGAUGUUCAUCCAAAAAGUUGAAUAUAUUUGAUACAAAAAGCGCUGAAUUUUCCUAUUUCUUAAAUAAAAUUGCCGCAAGGCGGCGUGAUUAGUUCUAACAGUAAUUGUGAUUUGUAUUUUCUAAUUUUUUCGGUUUUGGGCGAUGACAAGGGGUGAAUUUCGAAGGAUCUUCAACCAGCGAACGCGAACUUCUCCAACUCGGGGCUGUGGAUUAGGAGCAGCGCAAUUCUGGUGAGUUGGUAAUUCUUUUGUUGCACAGUAUUCAUGCUUUAUAUUGGUUAGCUGGUGACAAGCUCUCACACGCAAGUGGCGCUCACAAACAUCUCUCAUUCAUCCAGCUCCACACAAACACACACAUAUUUGAAAAGUCAACAUGAAACGCGCUCACCGGGUUCUGGAGAGAAUAAUAGUUGGUCCUCAUCUGCCACCGCAGCAUCGAAUUGGAUGCAUCAAUAUAGUUAUCUAUGCCCGCUCUCACGCACACUAGCACGCCAUUUGUUUUGCUGGACGGUACAAAAUUUAACCUCACUUUUUUUCGUGUACGUACACGCAAUACAUGUACACGUAGAUAACUCUAUAUCGACUGAGCUGACGACGUCAGUCAAUCCUCAAUCGCCUGGAUUUCAGUUUCACACUGUGUGCAGCUUCCACACAACAUCACCUCUAUGCAAUUAAAUGCGACACACCGCAAAUCUUCCAGUUGAUCACAUUUCAUAACAAUCUUCAAAAUUUCAACCAGCCCGGGAGCAUGUUGACAGCUCCCAUACAAACUGAGCGUACCCCGUUUUGUGGGCCCAGUGGGCUUAAGAUGGCGGCCUUCGAUAUUAUCUAGCCAAACAUUUGAAAAUGGUGAAUAGUUUAAAUAAAUAUAGUUUUUGCCUUGUUUUGGUUUAAAACGACAAAAUAAGCAUUCUGGAAUCAUUUUCUUUAAAAACUUGUUUAGAGAUACAAAAAUCAAAUCAAAUUAUUCGCUCUACAGCAUUGCCUUGGCGUUCUCGAUUACGAGAUUCCUACUCGAAACUAGGUGUUCGCAGGCUUGAUUGUUGAGGCAAUUGCAAACCUCUUUUUACACCUUAGCUUCCAUCCAUCCCGGGAUUCGAACUGACAACCUUUGGAUUGUUAGUCCAACUGCCUACCAGCGACUCCACCGAGACAGGACCCAGGGAGACGACUCCUACACCUGGACUGAGCUAACGACCUAACCUCUAAGUUAGACCGGGACCAACAUUUACUUCCCUGUCCGACGGAAGGCGUGAUCAGACAAAUCUCGUCUCGAAAAAUGCCACCGGGACCGUCUGGGAUCGAACCCAGGCCGACUGGGUGAGAGGCAAUCACGCUUACCCCUACACCACGGUCCCGGCCACGAGAUACGCCACGUUCAAAUAUUAAUCUAGAACAGUUGAAUAAGCGUGCCGCAAAAGCCGUCACGAAAAAAAAGUUUUCUUUGCAAAUUUUGAGUUGCGUAUUUGAUGGGCGGACUCCGACGAGGCCCACUUGCCAUCUGUCGGUGAAUACGCGCAACUCACGAAAACUGUCAUCUUAGGGUUCGGUUGAUUUCAACAUAUGGUACGUUCGUUUGAUGGCAAGUUCCACACUGAGUGCCGCACUCAGAGCUGUCAAAGUGUUUUUUUUUUAAGAAACUCGCGCUAGUUCCGCACGAGUUUCGCCGCCAUCUUGGAACUGAAACUCUAGUGCCGCACUCGAUAUUUUUUCAGUUUCAUGCGAGUUCCACGCACACUGACAGAUGACGUUCGAUUGAACCAAAAAUGGCACCGACGAGUGCGGCACUCAGUGCCGCACUGGCUGUUCAAACGAACGUACCAAUAGUUGGCCAUAGAGCUAUCUAAGCCCGAUCUCACGCACACUAGCUUACCAUUUGUUUUUGCUGGCGGGUACAAAUUUUAACCUAAAAAUCCUUCGUGUACAAACACGUAAUACAUGCGCACGUAGAUAACUCUAUGAACACUCUCCUUCAUCACACACACUUGACAAUCUGUGGUUACACCACACGCGAAAACUGUCACCUUAGGUUAGGGUUGGGUUACACUCAAUUUCCUCACACACUUCUCAUGUGAACUCACUCACACUUCGGCAAAAGCCCAUUGCCGUUCAAGAGCCAAACGACAUGCGACACCUAGUGUUGAGUAGCAGAACAAAGCGAAGAAUGUCGAAUGAAAUUUCCGCCCUUUGAGGUUAUGUAUGCGAAUUCUGUUUUGUUAAAUUCCAGCGUUGAAAACAACUUUAGAGCAAAAAAUCGAGCUGAUACUUUGUUAACUUUUGAUACUAUACCAUUUAAAACAAUAUUAUUUUUUCAAAAUAUUUUUUUUUUUCAAUUUUUUUUAUUGCGUUAAUUUAUAGAGGGCAAAAAGUUUACACUCGUACUACUUGAAUUUUUUCUCAAAAGUUGUUCUUAGAGCUGUAAAUUCAAUUUUAAGUUUGCAUUCCUAUGUAACCGAACAGCGAAAAUUUGAAUCGUCAUUCUUCGAUGCUUUGCGCCAUCUGUCGGAAUUUUUGAGCUUUUGAUCGCGAAUUGAGGGCAGAAGCCCACCACUGCUGUACCGCCAUAUUGGAAUUUAUGCUCCACAAGCUCCGAAAACACUUUUCACUUUGAAAUAAAAUGCAUUUUCCAUCGUAUUUAACAAAAAUCUUCAGAAUUUUCGUACUCACUCCGAACCGACGCAUCGAGUAGUACACUUUAUACUGCGUUUUUCUUUAUGAGCAAUUCUCUACGAAAUCGAUCAUUUUUCUUCAAUUUUAAUUUUUGUAUUUUUUUAUCCUACUGAAACUUUUUUUGUGCCUUCGGUCCCGCCCGUGUGGAUCAAUCGGACCGCGCACUAGACUCACAAUCCAGAGGUCGCCGGUUCGAAUCCCGCGGCGGGCGCUCUGAAAUUCUUUGUGUAAAUAUGGGUAUUCGGCGCCGUCGCUCCGUGCCAUACUUUCAUACACUUAGGAGCCCAGGGCGGCGAAGUCCUUGUAGAUAAAAGGAAGACACUAGUGGUUGGUACUAGCAAUGGUGGCCGACAGCUAUAAAGUCAACUUCGUUUCGUAUGCCCAAAGAAGCCAUUUUGCAUCAUUAGUUUGUCCAUAUAAUUUUCCAUACAAAUUUGGCAGCUGUCCAUACAAAAAUGAUGUAUGAAAAUUCAAAAAUCUGUAUCUUUUGAAGGAAUUUUUUGAUCGAUUUGGUGUCUUCGGCAAAGUUGUAGGUAUGGAUAAGGACCACACUGGAAAAAAAUGAUACACGGUAAAAAAAAUUUGGUGAUUUUUUAUUUAACUUUUUAUCACAAAAACUUGAUUUACAAAAAAACACUAUUUUUAAUUUUUUUUUUAUUUUUUGAUAUGUUUUAGAGGACAUAAAAUGCCAACUUUUCAGAAAUUUCCAGGUUGUGCAAAAAAUCAUUGACCGAGUUAUGAAUUUUUUAAUCAAUACUGAUUUUUUCAAAAAAUCGAAAUUUUGGUCGCAAAAACUUUUUAACUUCAUUUUUCAAUAUAAAAUUGAAUUUGCAAUCAAAAAGUACUUUAGUAAAAUUUUGAUAAUGUGCACCGUUUUCAAGUUAUAGCCAUUUAUAGGUGACUUUUUUGAAAAUAGUCACAGUUUUUCAUUGUUUAAAAUUAGUGCACAUGUUUGCACACUUUUGGAAAAAAUAUUUUUGAAAAGCUGAGAAAAUUCUCUAUAUUUUGCUUCUUCGGACUUUGUUGAUACGACCCUUAGUUGUUGAGAUGUUGCCAUGCAAAGGUUUAAAAACAGGAAAAUUGAUGUUUUCUAAGUCUCACUUAAACAGCCCACCAUUUUUCAAUGUCGAUAUCUCAGUAACUAAUGGUCCGAUUUUCAAUGUUAAAACAUGAAACAUUUGUGAAAUUUUCCGAUCUUCUCGAAAAAAAUAUUUUCAAAAUUUUCAA